rnacentral:rRNA from 1 species
UACGUAGGGGGCAAGCGUUGUCCGGAAUCAUUGGGCGGAAAGAGCGUGUAGGCGGCCCGAUAAGUCCGCUGUGAAAGUCCAGGGCUCAACCCUGGGAUGCCGGUGGAUACUGUCGGGCUCGAGUCCGGAAGAGGAGUGUGGAAUUCUCGGUGUAGAGGUGAAAUUCGUAGAUAUCGAGAGGAACACCGGUGGCGAAGGCGGCCAUCUGGACGGUGACUGACGCUGAGACGCGAAAGCGUGGGGAGCAAACAGG